rnacentral:rRNA from 1 species
UACGUAGGGUGCGAGCGUUGUCCGGAAUUACUGGGCGUAAAGAGCUCGUAGGUGGUUUGUCGCGUUGUUCGUGAAAACUCACAGCUUAACUGUGGGCGUGCGGGCGAUACGGGCAGACUGGAGUACUGCAGGGGAGACUGGAAUUCCUGGUGUAGCGGUGGAAUGCGCAGAUAUCAGGAGGAACACCGGUGGCGAAGGCGGGUCUCUGGGCAGUAACUGGACGCUGAGGAGCGAAAGCGUGGGGAGCGAACAGG